rnacentral:rRNA from 1 species
AUGGGCAUCACGGUGACGGUGAGGCGGGCGACCAUGGUGAGGCCAGCCAAGGAGUUGCCGCGGUCUCGGCUAUGGAACUCCCACCUCGACCUGCUGGUGCCGCGCUUCCACACGCCAAGCGUCUACUUCUACCGCUGCCCUGAGGAGGGGCCGCCGGAGGGGUUUUUCGACGCCGAGCGGAUGCGGCGAGCGCUAGCUGACGCGCUCGUCACCUUCUACCCGAUGGCCGGCCGCCUCGCCCGGGACAAGGACGGGAGGAUUGAGAUCGACUGCAACGGGGAGGGAGUGCUCUUUGUCGAGGCCGACGCGCCCGAAGCCACCGUCGCCAACUACGGUGACUUUGCGCCCACCAUGGAGCUCAAGCGACUCAUCCCGGCUGUCGAUUACACGGACCAAAUAUCAUUCCCACUCGUCCUGCUCCAGGUGACCUAUUUCAAGUGUGGGGGUGUCUCCCUCGGUGUUGCCACACAACACCAUGUCGCUGAUGGCAUGUCCGGCUUGCAUUUUAUUAACUCAUGGUCCAACCUCUGCCGUGGAGCUAAAAUUGCAGUCAUGCCCUUCAUCGACCGCACCCUCAUCCGCGCUCGAGACCCUCCGACUCCAUGUUACCCACAUGUUGAGUACCAUCCAUCCCCAGCCAUGUUGUCAUCCAAGCCCCAGGAUGUCUCUUCUCCUGACACUGCUGUUGACAUCUUCAAGCUCACCAGCUCAGACAUUGGCCGCUUGCGCUCGCAGCUUCCCACCGGCGACGACAUGCCACGGUUGAGCACGUACACAUUGCUGUCUGCGCAUGUGUGGCGUUGUGUCUCUCUUUCACGUGGCUUGCCAUCUGAUCAGCCCACCAAGUUGUAUUGUGCCAUUGAUGGGAGGAAACGGCUGAAGCCGCCGCUACCGGAUGGUUUCUUAGGCAACGUUUUGUUCACCGCCACACCGAUCGUCGAGGCAGGCAAGGUGACCAGAGGGCUGGCGGAUGCAGCAAAGAUAAUCCAAAUGGAGCUAGAUAGGAUGAACGAUGACUACUGCCGCUCAGCAUUGGACUACCUUGAGCUGCAACCUGAUUUAUCGGCCUUGGUCCGAGGAGCACAAACCUACCGUUGCCCUAACCUCGGAAUCACCAGCUGGGUGAACCUGCCCGUCCACAAUGCAGAUUUCGGAUGGGGACGGCCGGUGUUCAUGGGUCCUGGCGGCGUCGCAUUUGAGGGGCUCGCCUACGUCCUCCCAAGCGCACACAAUGACGGGAGCUUGUCCAUCGCCAUCUCUUUACAGGCCGACCACAUGAACAAGUUCCGACAGUUGAUCUUGGCACUGUAA